rnacentral:rRNA from 1 species
GACGAACGCUGGCGGCGUGCUUAACACAUGCAAGUCGAGCGGUAAGGCCUUUCGGGGUCCACGAGCGGCGAACGGGUGAGUAACACGUGGGUGUUCUGCCCUGCACUUCGGGAUAAGCCUGGGAAACUGGGUCUAAUACCGGAUAUGACCUCCUAUCGCAUGGUGGGUGGUGGAAAGAUUUAUCGGUGCAGGAUGGGCCCGCGGCCUAUCAGCUUGUUGGUGGGGUAAUGGCCUACCAAGGCGACGACGGGUAGCCGACCUGAGAGGGUGACCGGCCACACUGGGACUGAGACACGGCCCAGACUCCUACGGGAGGCAGCAGUGGGGAAUAUUGCACAAUGGGCGAAAGCCUGAUGCAGCGACGCCGCGUGAGGGAUGACGGCCUUCGGGUUGUAAACCUCUUUCAGCAGGGACGAAGCGCAAGUGACGGUACCUGCAGAAGAAGCACCGGCUAACUACGUG